ACCCGCCCACCUGCAUGCAGCUGUCGAAGAACAAGCCCAGACACGUCUCUUCACGGAGCCCAAGGAAAACACUUUACCGGACUCAUCACUCAUAUGGGAUGGCCCUGUAAAUUGUGCAGCACUGUUGUGCCAACCAAGAGUGAUUUUUUUAAAGCAUUACAGACUGCACCAUGGGACCUUUGGACACAGCCAUGCCUUCCCUUGCAUUCAUAUAGGUUGCCCAUGCUCUUUUAAAUGCUGGAGUUCCCUUCGCUCUCAUCUGUCAAGAUACCACCCAGAAGUCAAAUUCCUCAACUCACCUCAAGUAAGUCCUUCAUUCACCUGCCCUCUGUGUAAAAGGACUGUGCCAGGAGCAUCAAUGAUAUGAUGGGCAGAACGUAUACAGUGGGAGAAGACAGGAAGUUGUUGCCAAGUCUCCUGCUGGGGUGGCAGAAUUUAAGGAAAGAUGGCCUGCCCUCUUCGAACCAUUCCAGAUUAAUGAAGAGUUCCGAAGGUGCACUGCUGUUCCACUAGAAUCAACAUUUAUGUCCCAGCUGGACAGGUAGACUCCAAAACUCCUGGAGCUCUUCAGUGCAAAAGGUGGAGUGACUGGUCAGCGCAUCAAGAACUUGUUGAUGGAACUGAUACAGGACCCAAGUGCCUCUGCAGUGAUAAAGAGAGAUGUGACUUUGAGAUGCCUCAUAGAGUACACGGGAGAGAGUGGACAGGAGCUAAUCUCUGACUACUGUGUAAGUAUUGUUUAAAAGCAGGUUUGGAUCAGUCUGAUGUACAAGCUUAAAUUUGGUUUACUUAUGUGAACUGACUGAACCAGCAGUUGUCAGGUGGAGGUCGAGCAUGCAGCUAGUUGGCAGGAGCCCCAGGAUAGCCAAUUAGCAUAGCACCACAGAGUGAUGCCUUUCUGUCUUGUGUUUCUGUUUGCCCUAAAAAAAACAAUGCAAACA